rnacentral:lncRNA from 1 species
UGGGGCCUAAAUAUCUGGGGGAACUAUGUUACUUCAACAUGUUGCUCUAAAUCCAUUGACAUGUUUUAUGAAUCUAUUGGUAUUUGCCUACUUUUCAUUUCACUGAUGGGAAUUUGAACUACCUAAUUCGAGCAUGCUGGACUCAAAACUGCAAGGACUGAACUAUGACAUUCAUAUGGCCCAUGGCAUGCUGUUUCCCUUACUGUGAUUCAGCUGCCUGUCUUUUUAGUUUUCCAACAGCGCACAUAUGUUCAGUUACUGUAAGUAUUCCAGGAGAUCAGGACAUUGUCACUGUUGGAUGGAUGCUCUCAAUUUCCACGUGAGAUACCUAUUCGAUAGUUUUACUGUACCUCCUCCUAAUUAUGGAAUUUACAGUUCAUGUAAUUAUCUUCUAUGCUUUGGCUUGUUGACAGUUCGUACUCCUAUGCUGUAAUCAUACUGUUAUAUGAUCUAUGAAGCACUUGCUCCUCUUGCUUACCAAAAAAAAGAAAAAAGAGGACUUUUAUGUACACUAUCGUGAUUCUAGUGGUUGUGAUCCACAAGAUAGUAUACACUUGUGAACAAAACUCAUAUACGAGAAGUCUCUUGCUUAUACAGGACAAAGUCUCAAAUUAUUGGAUACAGUGGUACGAUGCAGUAUGUUUUUGGGCAAAUUUACAAACUUCUGCUAACUAGUUAUUCAACUGAUUUAUAAAUAUACUAAUGAUGCUAACAUUUGUCAACAGAUUGAUCUUUCAGAUAUGAAUUUUCAAGCCUUACGACCUUCCGUCAUUCAUUAUGGACAAGAACAACUUGAAAUUCUCACCGACGGUUUCACAAACCAAAUAGGGCACGGUGGAUCCGGAAGAGUAUACAAAGGUAAAGCACUCGACAGUGAAAUGGCAAUUGCUGUCAAGUGUCUAAAAGAAGGAGAAAUAUAUACC